UGUCAUUCUCAAUAGACAGAUAAGUUUAAGCUAUCCUGAUUCUUCGUUCUUUUAGUUUUCCUUUAUUAAUAAAUAAUAAAAAAUAAGACUCUUCUGUUUUUAAGUCUUUCUUGUUACGGUGAACGUAACACACAGAACUCGUGAGUCGUGGACGUAGAGCGAGUGGGUUUUUCUGUGUUUCAUGGCCGUUUUUCUUCGAUUUGUCUUAAUGCAUCGUCAAGUUAUUAACCUAUGGUUGUCGAACUCUCGUUUCGUGCCCCCGGGGGGGGGGGGGGGGGAGUACGAAACUAAUCCUAAACGACCUUUGAAUCAAUGAUUAUAAAUAAAUUAUAAUAAAUAAAGAAUAAAUAAUGAAUUAAGAGGCAAUUUUUUUCAAUGUCACGUAUUUGCAAUCAGAAAAGUGUUCAAAACCUAAAAUCUUUUUGGCGUUUCUUUCCAAAUUACUUUGUUUUAGCUUUAUUCUCUAGUUUAUAGAGUUAGCUACCUUUAACCUUUUUAAAUGCAUCUGCCGGUUGAGAAACAUAAAAUAAUAGUUAAAAAUUGUGAAUUAAAAUACAAAUAUCAAUGAUGCUUUAAAAUUGACGCCAUAUUUACAGCCACAUAAGCAAAACUUACUGAACUUCACACAUAAUUUUCUCUUUAGCGUAUUAUCUAAAAUCUCUUUAUUUUAGCAUUAUUUUACAGAUAAAGCACUAAACAUACUUUUUAAGUUUGUUUGCCGA